GAUGAACGCUGGCGGCGUGCUUAACACAUGCAAGUCGAACGAAGCACUUUAUUUGAUUUCCUUCGGGAUUGAUUAUUUUGUGACUGAGUGGCGGACGGGUGAGUAACGCGUGGGUAACCUGCCUUGUACAGGGGGAUAACAGUUGGAAACGGCUGCUAAUACCGCAUAAGCGCACAGCAUCGCAUGAUGCAGUGUGAAAAACUCCGGUGGUAUAAGAUGGACCCGCGUUGGAUUAGCUAGUUGGUGAGGUAACGGCCCACCAAGGCGACGAUCCAUAGCCGACCUGAGAGGGUGACCGGCCACAUUGGGACUGAGACACGGCCCAAACUCCUACGGGAGGCAGCAGUGGGGAAUAUUGCACAAUGGGCGAAAGCCUGAUGCAGCGACGCCGCGUGAGCGAAGAAGUAUUUCGGUAUGUAAAGCUCUAUCAGCAGGGAAGAUAAUGACGGUACCUGACUAAGAAGCACCGGCUAAAUACGUGCCAGCAGCCGCGGUAAUACGUAUGGUGCAAGCGUUAUCCGGAUUUACUGGGUGUAAAGGGAGCGCAGGCGGUGCGGCAAGUCUGAUGUGAAAGCCCGGGGCUCAACCCCGGUACUGCAUUGGAAACUGUCGUAGUAGAGUGUCGGAGGGGUAAGCGGAAUUCCUAGUGUAGCGGUGAAAUGCGUAGAUAUUAGGAGGAACACCAGUGGCGAAGGCGGCUUACUGGACGAUAACUGACGCUGAGGCUCGAAAGCGGGGGGAGCAAACAAGAUUAGAUACCCUGGUAGUCCACGCCGUAAA
rnacentral:rRNA from 1 species